GAUGAACGCUCGCUACAGGCUUAACACAUGCAAGUCGAGGGGCAGCAUGAACUUAGCUUGCUAAGUUUGAUGGCGACCGGCGCACGGGUGAGUAACACGUAUCCAACCUGCCGAUGACUCGGGGAUAGCCUUUCGAAAGAAAGAUUAAUACCCGAUGGCAUAGUUCUUCCGCAUGGUAGAACUAUUAAAGAAUUUCGGUCAUCGAUGGGGAUGCGUUCCAUUAGGUUGUUGGCGGGGUAACGGCCCACCAAGCCUUCGAUGGAUAGGGGUUCUGAGAGGAAGGUCCCCCACAUUGGAACUGAGACACGGUCCAAACGCCUACGGGAGGCAGCAGUGAGGAAUAUUGGUCAAUGGACGAGAGUCUGAACCAGCCAAGUAGCGUGAAGGAUGACUGCACUAUGGGUUGUAAACUUCUUUUAUACGGGAAUAAAGUGAGGCACGGGUGCCUUUUUGUAUGUACCGUAUGAAUAAGGAUCGGCUAACUCCGUG
rnacentral:rRNA from 1 species